UACAGAGGUGGCAAGCGUUGUUCGGAAUUACUGGGCGUAAAGGGCGCGUAGGCGGCCUUCUAAGUCAGACGUGAAAUCCCCAGGCUUAACCUGGGAACUGCAUUCGAGACUGCAUUGCUAGAGUAUGGGAGAGGGAAGUGGAAUUUCCGGUGUAGCGGUGAAAUGCGUAGAUAUCGGAAGGAACAUCAGUGGCGAAAGCGACUUCCUGGACCAAUACUGACGCUCAUGUGCGAAAGCGUGGGGAGCAAACAGG
rnacentral:rRNA from 1 species